AUCCCAUUAUUUCACUUUUCUCUUCCUAUUGGCAUAUAAUCCUUUCGUUUGUGGCAAUUGAAUCAUCUGAAAUAGAAAAUCUAGUUCACAUAUCAUGAUUAUUGAUGGAUACAAUAAUGAAAUGAAGGUGCCAAUUUGCUAGUCUGUUGAGGACCCUUUCUCUCAAACACACACGCACCUGAUCACUUGCUCAUUCACACACACAUAAACUACAUUGAUUAUCAUUCCUAACACUUGCAUAAUAACUUAGCUUGAAAAGCACUUCCACAACCCCUUGCAUCUCAUUUAGUUCCUGCCACACAUCUGUAGAUUAGCUCUCAUGCCCG
rnacentral:lncRNA from 1 species